rnacentral:tRNA from 1 species
GCAGAGGUGCAGGAGCGGUUGAACGGGACGGUUUGCUAAACCGUUAUACGGGCUAAAACCUGUAUCGAGGGUUCGAAUCCCUCCCUCUCCG